UCGAGAAUCUUUCACAAUGGGGGCAACCCUGAUGGAGCGACGCCGCGUGGAGGAUAAGGUCUUCGGAUUGUAAACUCCUGUCAUGCGAGAGCAAGGCUUGCAGGCUAACUCCUGCAAGUUUGAUAGUAUCGCAAGAGGAAGAGACGGCUAACUCUGUGCCAGCAGCCGCGGUAAUACAGAGGUCUCAAGCGUUGUUCGGAAUCACUGGGCGUAAAGGGUGCGUAGGUGGCGUGGAAAGUCAGAUGUGAAAUCCGGAGGCUCAACCUCCGAAUUGCAUCCGAUACUCCCAUGCUAGAGAACUGGAGGGGAGUCUGGAAUUCUCGGUGUAGCAGUGAAAUGCGUAGAUAUCGAGAGGAACACUAGUGGCGAAGGCGAGACUCUGGACAGUUUCUGACACUGAUGCACGAAGGUCAGGGGAGCAAACG
rnacentral:rRNA from 1 species